AAAAUGGCCACCCGUGAAAGACAGCUGCUGAGGGGAAAAACGUGUUUUGUUGAUCUCCUGCUCAGAAAAGCAAUCCAUAUGGUGGUUAAAGGUUUGACCAAGACGAGGAUUCUCAAAUAUUACAUUCUAAGCACCUACUUGAAAUAAUGAAUGUUCAAGAAAUGGACUAUGGAGAGGAUAGUCUGCCUCUUAUUGAAGUAUUUCCUAAAAUUCCAGUCCAGCUAAUGCACUUUUUGGACAACUUUUUAUAGCUCAAACGAAGGAAGAACGAAAUAAGGAGGCUACUUUUCUUAUUUCAGCCUUCAAGGAUAAAAACAUGGCAAUAGGAGAUUAUUCAAAUAAGCUCUGGGAAGAGGAAGACAAAUAAACUCUUGAACGAUUUUCGGCAUUGUAAAGAGAUUGAGAAAUGCAAGCUUGAAUCAUAGUUAGUAAACACUGGUAUCCAAUUAUGCAUACAACUUGUAAUAAUUUAUAGAAGUUUUUUUUUAACUGUAUUCUUUAUUAAUA